UAUUAUUCCAAAUUACAAGUGUGGAUAUACCUUUUAUGUGUAAUUUAAUUUUCAAUUUGAGGUUAAUUCAUUCAUUAAUCGAUCAAAAGUUGUCGUGUAUUUUUUUUUCGUUUAUUUUCUAUGUAUAAAGAAAUGUAGAUGCUCGUUUGACCGAAAUAAUUUCAAGAAAUGAUGAAGAUAACAUUGCAUCUAAUAGUGAUAAUAUUUAAUAUAUAUUAUAAUUACAAUUGUAAUUGGAGUAAAUGAUUUGAUAAUUUAACACAUUUAUCGUUGGAAUAUCAUUUCGAUUCGGAUAAAAUCGACGAUGAAAUACGUAAAGACUUUAUCGAUCACGUUUAAUGGCAAUUUCAGUUCAAUUCGGUAUGUUCAAGCAUGAAUUCUCACACGACCUGACAGGACUCGAGGGCAACUGAUCUUCUAAUGGAUCUAGCUUCCAAAUUGCUUAUAGUUGAUGUUGAGAUCGAAUGGCUAUACGAAUCAAGCAUAUAUGCAUGAAAUUAUUGUUAUUAACGUUUAUCGCAAAAUACCAAUACUUUUAAACCAA